rnacentral:rRNA from 1 species
GACGAACGCUGGCGGCGUGCCUAAUACAUGCAAGUUGAACGCUAAAGCUUUAACUGGUGCUUGCACCGACUUAAGUUUUUAGAGUAGCGGACGGGUGAGUAACACGUGGGUAACCUGCCCAUCAGAGGGGGAUAACACUUGGAAACAGGUGCUAAUACCGCAUAAUUCCUUUUACCGCAUGGUAAAAGGCUGAAAGGCGCUUCUGGUGUCACUGAUGGAUGGACCCGCGGUGCAUUAGCUAGUCGGUGGGGUAACGGCCUACCGAGGCGAUGAUGCAUAGCCGACCUGAGAGGGUGAUCGGCCACAUUGGGACUGAGACACGGCCCAAACUCCUACGGGAGGCAGCAGUAGGGAAUCUUCGGCAAUGGACGAAAGUCUGACGGAGCAACGCCGCGUGAGUGAUGAAGGCUUUCGGGUCGUAAAACUCUGUUGUUAGGGAAGAACAAGUGCUAGUUGAAUAAGCUGGCACCUUGACGGUACCUAACCAGAAAGCCACGGCUAACUACGUGCCAGCAGCCGC